rnacentral:rRNA from 1 species
UGGGGAAUAUUGCACAAUGGGCGCAAGCCUGAUGCAGCCAUGCCGCGUGUAUGAAGAAGGCCUUCGGGUUGUAAAGUACUUUCAGCGGGGAGGAAGGGAGUAAAGUUAAUACCUUUGCUCAUGGACGUUACCCGCAGAAGAAGCACCGGCUAACUCCGUGCCAGCAGCCGCGGUAAUACGCAGGGUGCAAGCGUUAAUCGGAAUUACUGGGCGUAAAGCGGACGCAGGCGGUUUGUUAAGUCAGAUGUGAAAUCCCCGGGCUCAACCUGGGAACUGCAUCUGAUACUGGCAAGCUUGAGUCUCGUAGAGGGGGGUAGAAUUCCAGGUGUAGCGGUGAAAUGCGUAGAGAUCUGGAGGAAUACCGGUGGCGAAGGCGGCCCCCUGGACGAAGACUGACGCUCAGGUGCGAAAGCGUGGGGAGCAAACAGG